rnacentral:rRNA from 1 species
UAGAGAAUCUUCCACAAUGGGCGAAAGCCUGAUGGAGCAACGCCGCGUGUGUGAUGAAGGGUUUCGGCUCGUAAAACACUGUUGUAAGAGAAGAAUGACAUUGAGAGUAACUGUUCAAUGUGUGACGGUAUCUUACCAGAAAGGAACGGCUAAAUACGUGCCAG